rnacentral:misc_RNA from 1 species
GAAAUGCGAUACGUAAUGUGAAUUGCAGAAUUCAGUGAAUCAUCGAGUCUUUGAACGCACAUUGCGCCCCCUGGUAUUCCGGGGGGCAUGCCUGUCUGAGCGUCAUUGCUGCCCUCAAGCACGGCUUGUGUGUUGGGCCCCCGUCCCCCCCCCAAGGGGACGGGCCCGAAAGGCAGCGGCGGCACCGUGUCCGGUCCUCGAGCGUAUGGGAAGCAACUUUUUGUCACCCGCUCCUGUAGGUCCGGCCGGCGGCCUGCCCAACCCCAACCUUUUUUUCAACCAGGUUGACCUCGGAUCAGGUAGGGAUACCCGCUGAACUUAAGC